rnacentral:lncRNA from 1 species
GUUCGGGUCCCCUCCCACAUUGUGGGAGAUUUGUUCUUUCCCCUUUUGCAAUAAAUCUUGCUGCUGCUCACUUUUUAGGUCCACACUACCUUUAUGAGCUGUAACACUCAUGGUGAAGGUUUGCAGCUUCACUCCUGAAGCCAGCCAGACCAGGAACCCACCAUGAGAAACAAACAACUCUGGAGCCGCCAUAAGACUCACUGUGGCUUUAAGAGCUAUAAGACUCACUGUGAAGGUCUGCGGCUUCACCCCUGAAGUCAGCCAGACCACGAACCCACCGGGAGGAACAAACAACUCCGGACGCACCACCUUUAAGAGCUGUAACGCUCACUGCAAAGGUCUGCGGCUUCACUCAUGAAGUCGUGCAUAGACCACGAACCCAGUAGAAGGAAGAAACUCCUGACACAUCUGAACAUCUGAAGGAACAAACUCUGGACACACCGUCUUUAAGAAGUGUAACACUGCGAGGGUCCGCGGCUUCAUUCUUGAAGUCAGCGGCACCAGGAACCCAUUGGAGGGAACCAAUUCCGGACACACAGCCUCGUGGAAUGGUUCUGCACAGUGUGUGUGUGUUUCCCGUCAACCCUGUGCACACUAUUAAAAGAACACAAGCGCUAAGCCUCCCUCUCAGACCUACUGAUGCAAGACAUUGUGAUUUUGACCUUGUUGGAUGCUGCACCUAAAGGUGGAUGGAAGAGGAAGAGUCUUGGGGGCUACCAUCCUGGCUGGAGAAGCUGGCACGAGGCUCCCUCUUGUGGAUGCAGCAAGGACUGUUAAAAAUCUCCCAAGGCAGAGACUUUUAGGCCUACAUGUACUUAGCCUCCUCUUCCCACCUCCUGUUCAUCUCUGUUUCCAAUGUUCCACUGCCAUCACUGCCAGGAAGUUCUGCAGAGAAGAAUGAAGAAGAACCGUAUGAUCCUAAACAUGUUCUUUGAAGAUAUUAUCAACCCACCAUUGGCCUUAUUUACUGGAAUGUUUUUAUAACCUUUAUUUGACACCUCUUCCCAUCAUUUAAAAUAAAUCUGGUGCUUCCCUGAA